rnacentral:tRNA from 1 species
GGAGACUUAACAUUGGUGGUAAAUGUGCUGGACUGAAAAUCCAGAAAAGUGUGGUUCAACUCCCACAGUCUCCA